rnacentral:lncRNA from 1 species
AGGAGUUGCGGGAGCUUCAGGACGAGAAGGCAGAGCUGCAGAAGAUCUGCGAGGAGCAGGAACAAGCCCUCCAGGAAAUGGGCCUGCACCUCAGCCAGUCCAAGCUGAAGAUGGAAGAUAUAAAAGAAGUGAACCAGGCACUGAAGGGCCACGCCUGGCUGAAAGAUGACGAAGCGACACACUGUAGGCAGUGUGAGAAGGAGUUCUCCAUUUCCCGGAGAAAGCCUAGCUCUGUGGAAGAGAGGAAGCCACAGCUACCCCACCCGCUCCCCAACCCGAGUUUCAGGCAGUGCCUUGCAGUAAGCUCAGAGCUAGAAACCACGUCCUGAGGCUGCCUUUGAGAUCACAUGUGUCUACAAGGCCUGGCUGUCCCCAUCUGUGGAGUCAGAAGCAGAGGCUGCACAGCACCACUGCCGGAACUGUGGCCACAUCUUCUGCAACACCUGCUCCAGCAACGAGCUGGCCCUGCCCUCCUACCCCAAGCCGGUGCGAGUGUGCGACAGCUGCCACACCCUGCUCCUGCAGCGCUGCUCCUCCACGGCCUCCUGAACGUCCGUCCUCAGGAGCACAGCCUCACGGACAGUGCCAAACCCUGUGGGUCUCCAGGGGCUUGGGAAAUGUGUUCUUUCCCAAGAGUAUCAAAGGAAAGAAUCAAAUUUCUUGCCCGGUCACUGGCACUCCAGAAGACAGCGUGCCGGAACCGGCAGCUCUCACCUUUCUGUGACUUGUUCGGAAUUAACUCCUCUGGAUGGAAACUUCCAUCUUACUUGGUUACAUCACGGCUCUGGUUCAGAUACAACUUCAUGAUUUUGCUACUAUCAUUUUUCACUUUUCAAAGAAUUUAACCUAUUUUACAGCAGUUCAGUUCUGCUAGUGAGUAGUUUUCCUCUCCUACCUUCCUUCUAAAAACCUGAUUCAUGCACAGCGUUUGACACACAUGGAGUCUGCCAGUGUGCCUUCUCUGCUUCAGACAAGAGAUCUGCCAUUUCAUGCCCUUGUGACUACCUAUCAUUGGCCCUGCAAUAAAAUCAUUUAUUUUUCA